CGAAGCUGCUUUUUCCCUGGUCACAUUUUCCUUAAUUUAUAAAAUGUGUUGCCGAUUUUGUUUAAUUAAACACUCAACAUUAAGAGAAGUUUUGAAAGAUGAACAACAAUGAAGCGGAGUUUGACAGGUUGAUUGGCAAAUCCAUAAAGUGAACAACAAUGAAGCGGAGUUUGACAGGUUGAUUGGCAAAUCCAUAAAGAUGAACAACAAUGAAGCGGAGUUUGACAGGUUGAUUGGCAAAUCCAUAAAGAUGAACAACAAUGAAGCGGAGUUUGACAGGUUGAUUGGCAAAUCCAUAAAGUGAACAUCAAUGAAGCGGAGUUUGACAGGUUGAUUGGCAAAUCCAUAAAGAUGAACAACAAUGAAGCGGAGUUUGACAGGUUGAUUGGCAAAUCCAUAAAGUGAACAACAAUGAGGCGGAGUUUGACAGGUUGAUUGGCAAAUCCAUAAAGAUGAACAUUCCAAUUAUUUUCGGGUACAUUUUUAUGUCAAACCCAAAGUGGCAAUUAAAAUAAAAUGUUCUGGGUUAAGUGAAGUACAAAUGUAAUUUAUAUUGAUGAUGAAACAUGUCAUAUAAACCAUUCUUUUUAUUAAUUAACUAUUGUGUAUUGUAUUUUUUAUUGUUUGGGUAAGAUAUUCGUUCUUCUUUGCACCAUGUGUUAUUCCAUUGGUUGGUAAGGGGAAGGGUUGAGUAC